CACGACCUCCCGGCCAGUCCGUUGAUCGUGUGCGUGGCAGCCGGGGCAAGAGAGUCAGAGCUGCCGGCCGACCACCACACCACGCUUUACUGUACGUCCUCCACACACACACAUACAUACACACAUACACACACACACACUCGCGCGCCUCAUGUCAGGACACUCUUGUACCCACACGGGACGAAGAUUAAGUGAAUUAGUGCUGAGAUGAUGACUAAAUAAGAGGCAACAACACCUUGACCUCUAUAGUCACUGCUACUAAGAGCGACCAUGGGCAGACGACUCUCUCAUGAACGUGUGAUAUGUGUAGUCACGUGUAAGGCAUCACUAUGAUACACAUGUGAACAAUGGUGUAAAAUAACAUGUGAAAAAAAAAUAAGAAAAAAAAAUAAAAACCAUAGUAUUAUUUUCGAUGGAGUUUAUACGCGUUACGGUAUAGUGAAGAUUAAAUGAAUGUCGUUUCUAGUGGAUUUCAAGUGUACUGAGACGAUAUGACAGGAGUAACAAUGUAAAAAAAAAAAGAAAGAAAAGAUGGUGUAUUUC